rnacentral:rRNA from 1 species
CCUACGGGUGGCAGCAGUGGGGGAUAUUGCACAAUGGGGGAAACCCUGAUGCAGCGACGCCGCGUGAGGGAAGAAGUAUUUCGGUAUGUAAAGCUCUAUCAGCAGGGAAGAAAAUGACAGUACCUGACCAAGAAGCACCGGCUAACUACGUGCCAGCAGCCGCGGUAAUACGUAGGGGGCAAGCGUUACCCGGAUUUACUGGGUGUAAAGGGCGCGUAGACGGUUAUGUAAGUCUGGAGUGAAAGCCCGGGGCUCAACCCCGGGACUGCUUUGGAAACUGUUUAACUUGAGUACAGGAGGGGUAGGCGGAAUUCUUGGUGUAGCGGUGAAAUGCGUAGAUAUCAGGAGGAACACUGGCGGCGAAGGCGGCCUGCUGGACUGAAACUGACGUUGAGGCUCGAAAGCGUGGGGAGCAAACAGGAUUAGAUACCCCAGUAGUC